rnacentral:tRNA from 1 species
GAAGGAGUGGCAAAGCUGGUUGAAUGCAUCGGUCUUGAAAACCGGCGUACGUUCACGCGUAAUGUGAGUUCGAAUCACGCCUCCUCCG